UCUCAGGGUGUCAGGUGAUGACAGGUGAAUUGUCAGGUGAUGUUGUAAUGAAGCUUGCCUCCACAUUUCCAAAGGGUCAACACAACAAGAUCUAGGCAGAUAAUUACUUCACCUCCGUUCCACUGGUAGUGAAGCUCCUUGAGCAAGGAAUCCAUUAUGUGGGAAAGGCCAGGCAAGUGCAUCUACCCAUCUAACUGUAACAUUUACAUGUGAAGAGCUUGAAGAAGAAGGGCAGAGGAAGCUUUGACCACAGAGUGGAGGGGAAACAACAUCUGUGCAGUAAAAAUGGUACAACAACAGGGCGGUGACACUUGUGUCAUCCUUCGCUGGACCAGAACCUGUUCAGGAGAUUCAACACUGGGACAAAGCCGCCAAAACCUACAUUGACGUUAGAAAGGCUUCCAUUGUGGGCAUCUACAAUAAAUACAUGGGAGGUGUGGAUUUGUUGGACUCAUUUACAGCAAAACACAAGUAUGCACUGAAAUCCUGGCGGUGGUACAUGUACAUCUUCUGGCACACAAUCACCCUUGCUGUAGUCAACGCCUGGCUCCUCUACAAGCAGCACAGCCUAUGCUCUCAGAAUGCCAAAGAAGGAGAUACUGAACAUGAGAAAGUUCGAAGCACAGCUGGCUUCCUCUCUCAUUACGAGGACAGGAACCAUUUCUGGGAUUACCACUAUAAGUAAAGGUGGACUUCACGCUGAGCACACAGAUUUCAGUGGAGAGUGAGAGAACACUGCAGACAUUGCACUGUUAACAAUCUUGAUGGGCACCUCUUCGGACCUGACGUGCUACCCAGCUACGCAAACGCAGCUAAGUGGAUGUACUCUCUUGUGAUUGGCCAGAGUGAUCACGAGUCUACGGAUGUUUGGGUCUCAUUGCUGAAAGAGUGCAUGAAUCGGUGGAAAAACCCCAGCCCCCCUGUGCUGCCAGCUUCUCCAAGCCCCGUGCUCCCUCUUUUGCCAAAACCACCCUGAGAACGACCAACAACUGGCUGAAGGAAGAGCUGCAACAGGUUAACGAAAGGCAGAAAGCAACGAAGGAGUGCCUGCUCAGAUGCAUUCUGUUUAGUUUUGCUUUUUAACUUUAUAGU